rnacentral:rRNA from 1 species
GACGAACGCUGGCGGCGUGCUUAACACAUGCAAGUCGAACGGUGACGCACCUUCGGGUGCUGAUCAGUGGCGAACGGGUGAGUAACACGUGGGCAACCUGCCCCUGACUCUGGGAUAACUCCUCGAAAGAGGUGCUAAUACCGGAUAUCACCCUCCCUGGCAUCGGGGAGGGUUGAAAGUUCUUCGGUCAGGGAUGGGCCCGCGGCCUAUCAGCUAGUUGGUGGGGUAACGGCCCACCAAGGCGACGACGGGUAGCCGGCCGGAGAGGGCUACCGGCACCACUGGGACUGCGACACGCCCCAGACUCCUACGGGAGGCAGCAGUGGGGAAUAUUGCGCAAUGGGCGAAAGCCUGACGCAGCAACGCCGCGUGAGGGAUGACGGCCUUCGGGUUGUAAACCUCUUUCAGCGGGGACGAAGCGAAAGUGACUGUACCCGCAGAAGAAGCGCCGGCUAACUACGUGCCAGCAGCCGCCGUAAAAC